rnacentral:tRNA from 1 species
UCAAACAAAGGGGAUUUUAACCCCUACCCCUAGCUCCCAAAGCUAAGAUCCUAAUUUAGACUAUUCUUUG